AAUGUGUCUGAGAGGGAAUGUGUCUGGGAGGAUGUGCAGCUGAGAAGUGUGUGUGAUUGACAGGAGGGGGAGGGAGGGAGGCUGGUGGAGGGGGAGGCCAGCCUCUCUCUUCCCUGCUUCAGCCAGGAGGGCUUCUGGAAAGCCCUGCAGUCUGGAGUGGGGGACGGACAUGCAGGAGAGGGUGGACAGAACAGUGUGCCCGCUCGCGGUGCUGCUCACGGGUGGGACGUGGACUGCAUGGUGACAGAUCUGAGGAGCUGGUGGCACACAGCUAACGCCAGUUCCUGGAGGCCAGGUUCAGGGUAUCCACACAGGAGAAGCUGGGUGACACAAUGUUAUGCAGGGGCCCCACAUGUCAGGGGACAGCUCACCAGUCCUAGACACACAGAGUGAUUCAUCUGGAAAAAAGGAAGCCCACAACCACUCAGACUGUCCCAAGCCUGGAGGUUGCCCAGGGAGAACCCUUCAAACAGCCCAUUCAUUCCACCUUGAACUCAGCCCCCUCCAAUCCCACAGGGCUCUGGACUUUCAAAGUGAGAGGUUUGACUUGAAUGUUCAAGACAGGCUGCAGGAGGCUGGUGGAGAAGGGGAGGCCUCCAAUAAGUCUGAGGGGAGAAGGCUUCUGCACACAAUGGAUCACCUCUACCUGAAGGGGCCAUGCACUCUCUUCCCAAGUUCAGUUACUGUAACUCCUUCACUAGACUGGGUCUCACUGAGUUGCUUAGCACCUCGCUUUUGCUGAGGCUGGCUUUGAACCUGCGAUCCUCCUGCCUCAGCCUCCUGAGCCGCUGAGAUUACAGGUGUGCGCCACUGCACCAGCCCCUCCAUGGUUGUUUCUGAGGCCAGGAGCCCACCUCUCAAGGGCUUCGUCUUCCCACCCUAGCUGCCUCCUGCACAUGCGAAACCGCUGGGCAGAGCUGCCAUUACUACCUCUGCUUCAAAGGAAUAGGAAUAUACGGAAUUCAUGACUUGCCUAAGGCGUGGGAGUAUUAGACUUCUGUCCGUGCUCUCUUUUGGAGCUCAAACUCUGCAGACAGGAGCCUGGACACACCUGGACCCUCCGUGUGAAGGGCCAGCCUCUGGUCUCCAGAUGCUCACAGGUGAGAGAGAUGCAGGGGACUGCAAAAUGUCUGCAGGUGCUCGGACAUGCCUGGGGUUCCAGGUGAGGUGAAAUGCCAAGGGCAGUGUGCAGCCUGUUUUCCCUAAGGGGGAAAGGUGGAGAAGGCUCUGCAGGGGCUAAGACCCUCCGGUUCGGGUGCAGGUGGCUUUAAAGCAAACUCUUCUCGCCCUGCUUAGGACACAAGAAUACAGCCUCACAGCGUGUGAAUACACUCUGCAGUCUGAUCGGCUGCGUUGAGCAUGUGCAAGCAGUCCCAGCCAAGCCAUGGUCACACUUGCACUAGUAUACCUCGUGCGCACACACACACACACACACACACACACACACACACACAGUUAGUUGUUCUGCCUUUCCAGAUUUCUAACACAGGCACCAACAGGAAGAUCACACAUACUGUGGUACGUACGUUCAUGUCCCUUAAAAUUGGUAUAUUGAAAUACCAAAGUGAUGGUAUUAGGAGGUGGGGACUUCUGAAAAGUCAUUAGGUCACAGGGGCAGAGUCCUGAUGAGUGGGAUUAGAACCCUUAUAAAAUAGGCCCAAGAUGCAGGACCCAGGGAUGUGACUGGGGAGGCUGAGGCAGGAGGAUUGCAAGUUCAUAGGCCAGCCUCGGCAAGCUAGCAAGAUGCUGUUGCAAAAGAAAAUUUUGAAAAGGGGCUGGAGACGUGGCUGAGUGGCCAAGCACCUCUGGUUCAAUCCCCAGUACCACAAAAUAAAUUAAUUAAUGAAUUGAUUAAACUAAGGCCAAAGGACUGAAUUCUCAACCUUUCUACCAUCUGAAGAAGCAGCAAUGACCUGGAAAGUUGGCCAUUGCCAGACACUGAGUCUGCCAGGACCCUGACCUGGGACUUCCCAGCCUCCAAAAUGGCGAGAACUUCCUGUUGUCUAUAAGCCACCCAGUCCCCUGUGGAGAGCUUCAUUACACCUGGUCCUUUCUUGCUGGGGUAGGGGUGCCCUGAAGAGAAAUUGCCCCUUGGCAUGUGAGUGCAGAGCCGUGGUUGACUUUCCCCAUACAUCCCAACCCCACCCUGAGUCCCUCCUGUAGAGAUGUGUGGCCUGGGAGGUGAGGGGGUGUCCAGGGUAGAGGCUGGCUUUUAGGAGGGAGAGGCUAACCAGGUUGGGUCUGAGACUCCAAUAUCAGAGCCUGGUCUCGCUCCCACCCCAUCCCAUAGGACUUGCACACGGCCCUCUGCCUGGGCGAGGUGGGCUGGGCUACCCAAGGCAGAGGUGUGCUCCUAAAUCCCCCCCCCACACACACAGGAGAGCGGCCCUGGCACCUACACAGCCCACCCUCACAUGGCCGCAUCCCAAGGAAGUCCAAGGGGGAGAGGAGAGAGCCCAGGAAGGAAGGGGGUGUUGAAGGAGAAAGAGGAAGAAGAGGAGGAGGGGUGGGUGUGAUACAGGGAAGAGUAGCAGGCUGGACACAGUGCCUGCCAGGGUCGGAGCCUCGGCUCAGCCUUCUGAUAGGACAGGAUGUUACCAAUAGUUAAGGGCAAGAUUAGAACUCAGGCCUCCAGCUGUAUCUGACCAAAGGGAUGCUCCCUCGGAUCUGUCCUCUCCGUCCAAUACCACUCUAGGACUGACCGAGGCUCCUGUGUCUAAUGUAUUUGAGGUGGAGACCUCUUUGAGGAAUUUCCUGUUGCCUAGGGCCCUCCGUGGACUUCACCAAGGAUUCUGCAUUAGGAGACUCAAUGCAGAUGCUGCGAGGAUAUUUCCCAUGAAUCAGCCAAGAUGCUUGCAAGAAUUACAGACGGACGCCCAGGCUCCAGAGGGCUGAGCUCUUAGAGGGGCUAAUGACCAUGUGGCUGCCCCCUCCAGAAUUCCUCUUUCUCUCUGGACAGACCAUUACCUUCCAAUCUGCUGGCGCCCACGGCCUGCUCCCUGCACGCGCCUCUGUUCUCUGCUGGCUCCUCUCCUACCCCACUCCUCCUCCUCUUUCUCCUCUCCUUCCUCCUUUAGCCUUCUAACUUGGAAGGGCAGCUGUGGGGAGCCAGCUGCAACCUCCCCCAACACACAUAUCCUAUAUCCAGACUCCAGAACCCAGAGGAAGCAGAUGGAAGGAUGAGAGAGGAGCUCAGGCCAAACAUCCUUCUUCCCCUUCCCAGAGUUCCCCUCGGCAUCCCUGGUUUACCUCUGCUCUCGACAGGAACCCUCAGCUGAGAGAACCUUACAGGGUGACAGAAAGGACAGGCAGUGCAACUUCACUCAGUCCUUUCAUGCAACAGGUGGUUAUUGAGCAACUACUAGGUAGCAGGUGCCGAGGAGACAAGGGCGAACAAACGCAAUAGUGUCUGCUCUCACGGAGGCACCAACUCAUCAGAAGGCCCUCUUUGGGGGCCUUUUGUGCCUUCCUGCCUUGGAUGAUGUGAACAGUUGUCCUGGGCCCUGCCUAGGAGUCUGGGGACACAGGCAAGUUCAGCUGUUGCCGUGACCAUAUGCUCUCUGCAGAGCCUUCUCCACCUGCCCAGCUCCUGGGCUCUUCCUGGGGCACUGUCCACCCCCUUUCCUUCUUGCCCCACUUCCCCCUCCCUGACAGUGGCCACUGGUCUCCCAUCCUGGUGGCCACUGCAUUCCUGGAAGAGCUUUCACCAAGCUGAGCCCCAGGUCGGACCGAUUCUGGAGUCUGCAGCUGGGGCCUGGGCUCUGUGUGUUUUAAGGCUCCCCAGGUCUUUCUGCGACACUUCCAGAUGGAGAGCCCCAAAGGAGUAAGGACAAAGGCCUGAGGACCUCUGCCCUGGAGCUGUGAUGUCCAGAGGACCGGGCCUCAGGGCUUCGGAGAAAGACGGGGGACCUCAGAGUCAGGUUAGAGGAGGCAGAGCUAACGCAGUGGGUCCAGAGGUGGCCUUGACACUCACUCAGGGAGACCAGCAAGAAGCAGAGACUCUGCCUCCUCUUGAGGCCCCACCCAGAGCCCUGGGUUCCUGCAGGCUGAUUCAAGGAGAAAGUGGAGCAGAAGAGGCAUGGGGCCUCCCUGGCUUCUUUCUCUCGGUUCCUCCUUAUCUCUUGGUCUUUCAAGGUACAAUUCAAAUUUCACCUCCUCCAGAGAGCUCGCCUGAUGGCCCAGAUCACCACCGAGCCACAGGCUUCCACAAGUAUUUCCUUUUGGUUAUAGGCUCGAUGAAUCAAACUUGGAUUGAAAAGGACCUUGAAGUUGGCUGACUCAUUCAUGCAGGCCUACAGGACGUAGUGUACACAGGUAGACUCAUCUUGAAGUCAGAGGCCCAAGUGCCUGGGGCCACAUACAGUUGCCUGGUGCUCCUGGGAACACGGUGGCUCUCUUAAGUCUCUCUCCCCCUCACCCAUUUGCCUGGCUGCUGAGAGAUUGCACCUGGAGGAGCCCCUUCCUCAGAAGCUCUAGCCAGAAAACUUGCCCUCUGUGUGGAGGUGCAGGGUCCUUCAGGAGCCCAGGCUGGAAAGGACGGAGGGGCCCCUUCCUCCAUGUGUAAUACAAUAAAAACCACAUUUAAAAGUCA